CCUACGGGUGGCAGCAGUGAGGAAUAUUGGUCAAUGGGCGCAAGCCUGAACCAGCCAAGUCGCGUGAGGGAAGACGGCCCUACGGGUUGUAAACCUCUUUUGCCGGGGAGCAAGCCUGAGCACGUGUGCCCAGGCGGAGAGUACCCGGAGAAAAAGCAUCGGCUAAGUCCGUGCCAGCAGCCGCGGUAAUACGGGGGAUGCGGGGGUUAACCGGAUUUAUUGGGUUUAAAGGGUGCGCAGGCGGGCUGUUAAGCCGGCGGUAAAAAUUUAGGGCUCAACCCUGUCGAGCCGUCGAAACUGGCAGUGUGGAGUGGGCGAGAGGUAUGCGGAAUGCGUGGUGUAGCGGUGAAAUGCAUAGAUAUCACGAGGAACCCCGAUUGCGAAGGCAGCCUGCCGGGGUGCGACUGACGCUGAGGCUCGAAGGUGCGGGUAUCAAACAGGAUUAGAUACCCUUGUAGUC
rnacentral:rRNA from 1 species